AUGCUGUUUUUCUAUUCUCUGAUUCGCAUCAUUUUGGCAAACAAAAGUAAAUAUGUUUAUAAUAUGAGUAGAGUUUUUUAACACAUUAUUUAUAAACGUAUAUUUUUUAAUUAAUAUAUCAUAAAAAUGAGUGAUUUUCUGGCAAAUAAUAAUAUUUGUGGACAAAACCUUUUGCGUCUUGUUUCUCGAGGAAAUGCAAUUAUUGCUGAAUUAAUGCGUCUGAAGGAACAUGUACCGCCAGUUUUUAAGUUAGAUUCAAAACGUAAUUUGCAAAAAUAUGGAUCAAUCAUUAUGGACUUUGCAUACUUUAAAGCUGCUAAUAUUCAUGAACAAAAAAUUGAAAAUGAUCCAAUUCUCCAAGAGUUGGAUGAAAAUUUAAGGGAAAGCUAUGCAGAUGUUUUAUCUAGAUUUUAUUUAGCAUUUGAAAGUAUUCAUAAAUUUAUCACAGAUUUGAAUACUUAUAUUGACGAAUUAGAAGAUGGGAAUUAUAUUCAGCAAUCAGUAGAGAGUGUCAUGCUGAAUGAGGAAGGAAAACAGUUAAUGUGUGAAGCAGUGUAUCUGUACGGUGUUAUGCUACUGUUAGUAGAUCAUCAAUUUGAAGGUCAGAUAAGAGAAAGAAUGUUAGUUUCCUAUUAUAGAUAUAAUGCUCAACGAUCAUCUUCAACGAGGGUAGAUGAUGUUUGUAUGUUAUUAAGAUCAACAGGUUUCUCUAAAUCAUCGUUAAAACGACCAUUAAAUUAUCCAGAAGAUUAUUUUAGGAGAGUUCCGAUUAAAUCUACGUUUAUUGAUCUUUUAAUCGGCCGGCUGAGACUAGAUGAGCUUUAUAGCCAGUCUUUAACAUUCCCAAACCCAGAAUAUCGCAGUUUAGCUUCAGCUAAUCAAGCUGCUAUGCUAGUUAUCAUUCUCUCAUUUCAAUCGUCAAUUCUACAAACAGGAUCGGCCAUAAUGCGUGAAAUCGUAGACCGUUUUUUUCCUGACAAUUGGGUAAUUAGCAUUUACAUGGGAAUUGUAUUGAAUUUAUGUGACUGGUGGUCUCCUUAUAAAGCAGCUCGAAUUGCACUUAAUAAUACUCUAGAAGCAGCUAAUGUAAAAAAAAUUGCACAAAUGUAUGGUAUCAAAGUUCAGAAAUUAAUAACAGAAACUGAAAAAUUACAACUAGCUGUAACUCUAGAUGAAAAUGAAAUUGAAUCUAUUGUUAAAUUAAUACGUGAAUGUAAUGUAUCACUACACUGGAUAUUACUACAUACAACAGUACCAACAAUAUUACAUGAAGAAUCUAAACGAGUUCGAUCUUUACGCCAACAAGUUAUAAAUGAAAGCAAAUACACUAUUGAUAAUUGUUUGAAAUUAUUACUCAGCACUGCACAAAUUGAACACGAUGUUAAACAAAUGUAUAAACAAAUGUUGAAGGAUAAAGAAUCCAAAUGGUCUGAGUAUAAAAAUAAAUGUAUACAACUUAUUGACAAUUUAAUUGAAAUAUUUAGUCAAAAUAAUAAAAAUUUUGACAGUGCUGACACUAAUGAACGUUUAAAGAUUUGGUUCAAAGAAAUAAGUACGCAUAUUAAUUCACUUCAACAAGAGGAUGGGAAGAAAAUAGCUCAAUUGCUACAGGCAUUAGAGGAAGUUCAGGAAUUUCAUCAAUUAGAAAAUAAUUUACAAGUUUCUAAAUAUUUAAUAGACACUAGAGAGAUUUUAUACAUCAUGCUACGUAUCGGAAGCAUUUCAGAAAGUACUAUGAUAGCUUUAAAUAUUUCAACAGAUAUUUGUUAUGCUUGGAACAUCAUGGAAACUUUUAUCGAUGUCAUGCAAACUAGUAUUAAAAAAAAUCCUCCAACUGUUGUUAAAUUGAAAGCAUUGUUUUCAAAAAUGGCUUCUGCAUUGGAAAUGCCAUUAUUAAGAAUCAAUCAAGCUAAAAGUGCCGAUUUGUCUUCUGUUUCACAAUACUACAGCAGACAGCUUGAAAGUUAUGCUCGAAGAGUUUUGCAAAUAAUUCCAGAAACUGUGUUUGGACUUUUAGCACAAAUUGUUCACUUGGAAACGAAUAUUUUCAAAGAAAUUCCAACCAAGUUGAAUAAAGAUAUGCUUAAAGAUUAUGCUCAACUGAAUGAACGUUUACAAAUGGCUAAAUUAACAUAUGCUGUAUCAGUAUUUACAAAAGGUGUUCUGUCUUUGAAAAGUGUAUCACUAGGAGUACUGCGAGUUGAUUCUAAUCGAUUACUAGAAGAUGGAAUACGCCAAGAGCUUGUUAAAAAAGUUACUCUCGCUCUGCAAAAUGGUCUGACCUUUGAUAAUAAAUCAAAAGUUUCUUUAGUUGAUAAAUUAAAUGACUUGGCAGUUGUCAUUGAUGGAUAUCGGAAAGCUUUUCAGUAUAUACAAGAUUAUAUUAAUAUAAAUAGUUUAAAAAUUUGGCAUGAAGAAAUAAUUUAUAUUAUUAAUCUAGCUCUUGAAGAUGAGUGUAAAAAUUCAGCGCCUGAGAAAUAUAGCAAAUUACAUGAUGAAUCGAAUUGUGAAUUAAAUGGAACUACUUUCAUUGGAAGAUUAACGAAGGAAUUAAUUCGUGUUACAGAUCCUAGAAAUACGGUUUAUAUUAAACACUCACUUGCAUGGUAUGAUCUUAAAACACAAAAUGAAGUUUUGAAUCAUAAAAUUUUCUCGACAAUUCUAGUGGCUAUGGGAACACCGGGAUUGUAUGGAAUUGAUAAAUUACUUUCUCAUUAUAUUAUUUUAGAGUUGAAGAAUUUACACAGAUUUUUAGAAGGUCUUGAUAAAAAUUGGUCACUAGUGGUUGGAGAAUGUUUGACAAUAAUGAAAACCCAUGAACUUCAUACCAGUAAUCCUGGCAAGCUUUACUCCAUUUUAUCUAAUCAUUCUAAUAAAAUGUGGCCAUCUAUGCUGGAUUCUUUGUUAAAAAUUGGCCAUUAUCAGUUACUAAGAAAUAAAAUUUGUUAUGAACUUAAUAUUGCUUGUAAAUUCGAAGCCAAGCAUAUGGAAAGUGCACUUCGAACUCUAAAUACAGCAAUACUCACAGAACUUGGAGGAAAAUCUGAUAACAGUUAUAGUGGUCAGGAAGAAAUGGAUUUAAUUAAUAAACUCAGUGUUAGGCUAGAUUGGACUGGAAUCAGUGAUCCACUGAAUAAAAAAUAUAUUAAAUUAUCUGAUAUCAGUCAUUUAGAUUUUACGCUUUUUUUAUUCACGAUUUUUUAUCUUCAUAAACUACAAUUUUGUAAGAACACAGCAAGCUUGUUGAGUAAAAAAAUUCAAGAUCCAAUCGAUGCAGUGGUAUUUUCAAUUGGUAUUCAAACGUUAUCGAAACAAUUUUCAUCAGAUAUUUUUGAUGAUUAUCUUUCAUAUCUUUGUAAAUAUGUAUUACUAUUCGUCGCUGUUGAUAAUGGCAAACUUGGCAGUGAAUGGGAAUCUGAAGGAUUAACUGUCUUACAUUAUCUUCAUCUAGUCUGCAAAAUUGCAAACAUACCUAAAUCAACCAUACUUGAUAAAAUUCCAAUAAUUAUUUUAGAUCAGUAUACAAAAAACAAGUAACUUUUAAUAUGAAAUUGAUCCAAUAAAUGUAACGAAAUAAACAUAUCGGAAAAUUUCAUUAUUUGAAUAAAUGAAUCAAUUAGGAAAUAGAAUAAAAUGUAAAAAAAAAAAAACGUAGGCGAAUUGUUACGCAUUGGCGGCUGUUGAUUACCAUUACAGUAAGUAUUUGCGGUAGGCGGCAAUUCGGCGCCUUUCGGCGGCAAUUGCGGUAACGCUAGUCACUGUCUUCAUUGUACAAAAAGGACCCUCAAUCGAAUUGAAUAUUUAGUCGUAUUAUAAAAAUUUGUUAGCUAUUACUGGAAUUUCUAUUUAUUUAUUGGUAAUUUUAGUGAAUUAUACUGUUUAUUUCAACGUCACAAAUGAAGCCUCGAAAAAAGAAAAUAAUGAAUCUUAUGGUGGCAAUUGUUGUAAUACUCGUUGGACAACUCACGGUAGCACAAGACUCAAAAUCAAGUCGUGAUUCUUUGAAUUUUAUGAAACAACGUCCUAAAAUACGAGAGUCCAGUAAUUUUCGUCCUGAAACACUUGCAACGGCUGUUGGAUUCGGAAAACGAUCGAGUAAUACUCCAUUAGUGAUGAAUGAGAAACCGAAAUAUUUAAUUAUUUUACCACCUGUACAAGCUAUUUAUCAAAGGAUUCCGGCGUAUUGGUAUCCACGAUAUUCAAGAAGAUCCAUCAAAUUACAAGAAAAAAAAUCAAAAAUCAGUACCAAGUAUACACUGGUACCAUUAAAAGUAUUAAAUUCGAUAUAAAUGAUUAUUUUGUUGUCAAUUUUUUGUUAUAGUUGAUUAUAAUAACACUGGCCAACGAUGAAAAUUUUUGUUUCAAUUACUUUAGCUAAUUUUUGUUUAAUUUGGUGUGCUGAUUAUGAAAAAAAUAAUUAACAAGUCGUAUCACCCACCAAUUUCUUACAAUUUAAUAUUGAAUAAAAUUAAUUUGUAUUAAUUUUUAGCUAUGCUAAAGAUCCUUACAGUAAAACUUUACUUUGAAAAUUUGUAACCCAAUAACAAACAAUAUUU